CACGGAGUUAGCCGAUCCUUAUUCCUUCGGUACAUUCAGCUAGAUACACGUAUCUAGGUUUAUUCCCGAAUAAAAGCAGUUUACAACCCAGAGGGCCGUCUUCCUGCACGCGGCAUGGCUGGUUCAGAGUUGCCUCCAUUGACCAAUAUUCCUUACUGCUGCCUCCCGUAGGAGUCUGGUCCGUGUCUCAGUACCAGUGUGGGGGGCCAUCCUCUCAGAUCCCCUAGCCAUCGUCGCCUUGGUGGGCCGUUACCCCGCCAACUAGCUAAUGGCACGCAUGCCCAUCCUUCUCCCAUAAAUGUUUGACCACAUCACGAUGCCGUAUCGUGGUCUUAUGCGGUAUUAAUCCGAAUUUCUUCGGGCUAUCCCCCAGAAAAGGGUAGGUUGCAUACGCGUUACGCACCCGUGCGCCGGUCUCAAGCUAGCAAGCUAGCUCUACCCCUCGACUUGCAUGUAUUAGGCCUGCCGCUAGCGUUCAUCCUGAGCCAGGAUCAAAC
rnacentral:rRNA from 1 species